GUACUUGUGCAGUUUUGUAAGGACUACUGUGGAAAAUCUGCUCCUUCCCGGAAGGAGAUCGCGGCAGUUUUGUCGCUAUUAAAUGAGCUGGGGGAGCUGGACUCUCCCCGCUACGUUUUGGAUUCGAGUAGGUGGGACUUGCUCACCUCGGUGCUAUGCCAGCGCGCCAUGGCCAGUCAGAAGGCUACGGAACUUAAAACGUGGGGACUGAUAUUAGGAGCCCUUAAAGCGGCCAGAGUUGAGGGAAAGGUAUUGGUGGAGGCUCGAUACCUUUUGGGUCUCAGCGGAGGAGACCGAAGCCAACUCCAGAACAACUGAGGGACAGACGAUGGGAUCAAGAACCACUCGUCAAGAGGAGCACUACACCUGCAACGCUGACACUUCCAAUGUUGCUGAUAUUUAUGGUGUCCAUGGCGAUUACAGAGUGUCACAAACAACUACAAUGGACGCAAG
rnacentral:lncRNA from 1 species